rnacentral:rRNA from 1 species
GAAGGUUAGCUAAUCCUGGUCGGACAUCAGGAGGUUAGUGCAAUGGCAUAAGCUAGCUUGACUGCGAGCGUGACGGCGCGAGCAGGUGCGAAAGCAGGUCAUAGUGAUCCGGUGGUUCUGAAUGGAAGGGCCAUCGCUCAACGGAUAAAAGGUACUCCGGGGAUAACAGGCUGAUACCGCCCAAGAGUUCAUAUCGACGGCGGUGUUUGGCACCUCGAUGUCGGCUCAUCACAUCCUGGGGCUGAAGUAGGUCCCAAGGGUAUGGCUGUUCGCCAUUUAAAGUGGUACGCGAGCUGGGUUUAGAACGUCGUGAGACAGUUCGGUCCCUAUCUGCCGUGGGCGCUGGAGAAUUGAGGGGGGCUGCUCCUAGUACGAGAGGACCGGAGUGGACGCAUCACUGGUGUUCGGGUUGUCAUGCCAAUGGCACUGCCCGGUAGCUAAAUGCGGAAGAGAUAAGUGCUGAAAGCAUCUAAGCACGAAACUUGCCCCGAGAUGAGUUCUCCCUGAGACUUUAAGUCUCCUGAAGGAACGUU